rnacentral:sRNA from 1 species
GUUUUCCGUGAAGAGGCCUGCGAUGAUCUUGGAGGAGAAUUCUGUGAACCUGACUUUCAAAAAGAUGCCAACUAGAAGAAACAAGAUUUUAUGUCAUGUGAAUAUGUGUUUGUAUUUCUACAAGUCUUUGUAACCACUCCUUA